UACGUAGGAGGCAAGCGUUGUCCGGAUUUACUGGGUGUAAAGGGUCCGCAGGCGGACCUGCAAGUCGAUGGUGAAAUCCUCCAGCUUAACUGGAGAGCGGCCUUCGAUACUGCAGGCCUUGAAUCAAGGAGAGGGGGACGGAAUUCCAGGUGUAGCGGUGAAAUGCUUAGAUAUCUGGAAGAACACCGGUGGCGAAGGCUGUUCUCUGGCCUUGAAUUGACGCUCAUGGACGAAAGCGUGGGGAU
rnacentral:rRNA from 1 species